CCUCUUAACAUGUUGGGGCUCCUCUUCAACCACAGAUCUGAACAUAUCCUAUCAGAUGAUGCAGGCUGUGACCCCACCCCAUCAGUGGGAUAAGUGGCGAGGAAAUGUUGCAAGAAGCUUCCUUGCCACAAAGAACUAGAAGCUUCAAAUGAUGGCUACACGCUAAAGUCUGCUGAUUGAUAAAAGAAAGGAAAGACAGACCAGAAUCAAUAAAACACCUCUUCAUACAUUUGAAGACAAAAGCUGCUGAACACCACCAUGCAUUUUGCAGAAGAGUGAGCCUUUGGGGCUCUAAGAUGGCCCAGAAAGAGAAAAGGUGCCUCGGGCAGGCUUGAAGCAACAACAAUGUGUAUGAUUAAUUACUUCAGCAAAGCAGAAGUUCUGAAGAAAACAUGAACCUUGUUAACUUUAAUUGCUCAGGAAGAAAAAAAUUGGCAUUGAAGUAAUUUCCUACGUCCAAGAGCCUGAGUGAUGGAAUUACUAGUUUUUCUGGAAGGACUCACAGAAUCAAUGUCACAGAGUUGGAAAGGAUUACAAAGGUCCUCUAGUUGAAUCCGCUGCCCGUGCAGGAAUUAAAAUGUGACCUUCCUUUUUCACCUGGCAGACAGAGAUUCAACAGGUUUGGGGGAAGAUAAAACAAACUCCCACUAAACAAAUUCUACCAAGAGAUUCUUGAGAUAGAUUGACCUUCGUAUCACCAUAAGCCAUAAAGGAUUUGAAGAAACACAACAAGAAGUGGUAAGGAAAGCUACUCUGCUGAAUUCCAGUCAUCCCACCACAGUGAAAGGCACAGAAACCCUGUCAAAUGGUAGAUUGGGAUGAGCUCCUCCCCAUAUAGGAAUGAGAACAGAGACAAAUGUAAGAUUAUCUUUCUUAUAUCAUGACCCACUCUCUUUCAAGACAAUACACAAGUAGCAUUUGAAUCUUUAGUCCAUGAAAUCAGCCUGUUUCUGUAAUCCUCCAAUCUUAUGCAUGAAUGGGAGCCAACCUACAUAUUUAGAGAUGUUGCAUUUCAGAGCACUUCUGGAUGUACAAUUAAACAAUUAUGUGAAAUAC